rnacentral:rRNA from 1 species
UACAGAGGUCCCAAGCGUUGUUCGGAUUCACUGGGCGUAAAGGGCGCGUAGGCGGUUGGGCAAGUCUGAUGUGAAAUCUCACAGCUUAACUGUGAAACUGCAUUGGAUACUAUUCGGCUAGAGAGUUGGAGGGGGGACUGGAAUUCCUGGUGUAGCAGUGAAAUGCGUAGAUAUCAAGAGGAACACCAGUGGCGAAGGCGAGUCCCUGGACAACUUCUGGCGCUGAGGCACGAAAGCUAGGGGAGCAAACAGG